rnacentral:rRNA from 1 species
UGGUGGAGUGAUUUGUCUGCUUAAUUGCGAUAACGAACGAGACCUUAACCUGCUAAAUAGUCACGCGAACUCCGGUUCGUUGUUUGACUUCUUAGAGGGACUAUCGGCGAUUAGUCGAUUGGAAGUUUGAGGCAAUAACA